rnacentral:rRNA from 1 species
GGUUUUCUGCGAAAUUUGUUUUAGCGAAGAGUUCAUUUUAUUAUUACGUAGGUAUAGCACUGAAUAUUAAUAACAUAAUUUACUUAAGUUAAUAAAGGGGGAGUAAUAAUAUUACUUAUCUCUAAUAUUUAAUCUCAGAAUGACUAAUAAGAUAAGAUGAGCUUAAGGACUUUUUGCGAUAAGGUAUAAAGUCAAAAGGGAAACAGCCCAGAACAGUAAAUAAAGCUCCCCAAUUAAUAUUAAGUGAGAAUUCCCA